GCAGACGCAGCGUCGCAACCUCGGCAGCCCACCCCACCCCACCCCACUCAACCGGGCCCGCCGCGGCGCCCAGGCGGCAGGCAGCAAGGACAGCCUUGUGCGAGCCCGAUCUGGGCCUUCCUGGGCGCGGCUACCGCAAGAGCUUAACGGAUCAGCUACCUGGGGCUCUCCCGUAGGAUCAGCGCCGCGGGGACCGCCAUCUUCGGCUUUCUCGCACUGCCGCCGUCUGUUAGCUGCGCCGAACCCAGCCAAUGGCGGCCGCGGCGGACGGAAAGCCGGAAGGCCCAAGCCGCGCAGGGGCCGUUUUAGGGCUCCGGGUCUCCUGCGACCCGGGCGCCGGGAGACUUGUCCCGCAGUCCUGGAGGGCGGAGAGGGCAGCCCAGUUGCCCUCCCGACACUCCAAUCGUGUUGGAGUUAAGUCUGUGCAUAUAUAUGUCUUUAUAUUUAUAUAUUAUAUAUGUAUGUACAUACCUGGAUAGGGGUGUGUGUCUGUAUUUAAUAGGGCAGGUUUAAGCAAGUCUAUGUACAGACCUGUAUAGAUAUAUGUGUGUAUGUUCGUGCAUAAAUAUAUACAUUAUUAUUUUUAAUAGGGCAGGUUUAAGCAAGCCCGUGUAUACAUACUUGGAUA
rnacentral:lncRNA from 1 species